rnacentral:tRNA from 1 species
AGAGGAUUAGUUUAAUGGUAGAAGGUUAGUUGCGAACUGGCGGAGGGAGUUCGAAUCUCCCAUCCUCUCCCA